rnacentral:rRNA from 1 species
CCCUUAGAUGUCCGGGGCCGCACGCGCGCUACACUGAAGGAAUCAGCGUGGCUCUGUCCCUGGUCCGAAAGGAUUGGGAAACCCGUUGAAUCUCCUUCGUGAUAGGGAUUGGGGCUUGGAACUGUUCCCCAUGAACGAGGAAUUCCCAGUAAGCGCGAGUCAUAAGCUCGCGUUGAUUACGUCCCUGCCCUUUGUACACACCGCCCGUCGCUCCUACCGAUUGAAUGGUCCGGUGAAAAUUUCGGAUACCGGCAUUGCUGGCGGUUCGCCGCCGGCGACGCUGGUAGAAGAUCUUUAAACCUUAUCAUUUAGAGGAAGGAGAAGUCGUAACA